CUGGCGGCGUGCCUAAUACAUGCAAGUCGAGCGAAUGACGAGGAGCUUGCUCCUCUGAUUUAGCGGCGGACGGGUGAGUAACACGUGGGCAACCUGCCCUGUAGACUGGGAUAACUUCGGGAAACCGGAGCUAAUACCGGAUAAUCCAUUUCACCUCAUGGUGAAAUGUUGAAAGGCGCUUUCGGGCGUCACUACAGGAUGGGCCCGCGGUGCAUUAGCUAGUUGGUGGGGUAACGGCCUACCAAGGCGACGAUGCAUAGCCGACCUGAGAGGGUGAUCGGCCACAUUGGGACUGAGACACGGCCCAAACUCCUACGGGAGGCAGCAGUAGGGAAUCUUCCACAAUGGACGAAAGUCUGAUGGAGCAACGCCGCGUGAGUGAUGAAGGUUUUCGGAUCGUAAAACUCUGUUGUAAGGGAAGAACAAGUACGUUAGGAAAUGAACGUACCUUGACGGUACCUUAUUAGAAAGCCACGGCUAACUACGUGCCAGCAGCCGCGGUAAUACGUAGGUGGCAAGCGUUGUCCGGAUUUAUUGGGCGUAAAGCGCGCGCAGGCGGUUUCUUAAGUCUGAUGUGAAAGCCCACGGCUUAACCGUGGAGGGUCAUUGGAAACUGGGAGACUUGAGUGCAGAAGAGGAAAGUGGAAUUCCAAGUGUAGCGGUGAAAUGCGUAGAGAUUUGGAGGAACACCAGUGGCGAAGGCGACUUUCUGGUCUGCAACUGACGCUGAGGCGCGAAAGCAUGGGGAGCAAACAGGAUUAGAUACCCUGGUAGUCCAUGCCGUAAACGAUGAGUGCUAAGUGUUAGGGGGUUUCCGCCCCUUAGUGCUGCAGCUAACGCAUUAAGCACUCCGCCUGGGGAGUACGACCGCAAGGUUGAAACUCAAAGGAAUUGACGGGGGCCCGCACAAGCGGUGGAGCAUGUGGUUUAAUUCGAAGCAACGCGAAGAACCUUACCAGGUCUUGACAUCCCAGUGACCACUCUAGAGAUAGAGUUUUCCCUUCGGGGACAUUGGUGACAGGUGGUGCAUGGUUGUCGUCAGCUCGUGUCGUGAGAUGUUGGGUUAAGUCCCGCAACGAGC
rnacentral:rRNA from 1 species